CCUACGGGAGGCAGCAGUGGGGAAUAUUGGGCAAUGGGCGAAAGCCUGACCCAGCAACGCCGCGUGAAGGAAGAAGGCCUUCGGGUUGUAAACUUCUUUUAUCAGGGACGAACACAAUGACGGUACCUGAAGAAUAAGCCACGGCUAACUACGUGCCAGCAGCCGCGGUAAU
rnacentral:rRNA from 1 species